AGAGAAGGUUAGUAAAAUCGGAGAGACAGUGACAAGAAAUUAGUCACAUAUUGCUAAACAAUGUGACUUGAACAAUUCGGGUAAUUGGACACCAUCAGCAUACACGCUACUCGCAACUCAAUCAAAGCAUAAUCAAUUUACAUCAGGAUCUAGAACAAAAUUGUGCCAUGUAUAAGAAAACAAUCUUGAGCCAAUAAUUUGUUCUAGUGCCAAAUGUAACCCCAGAACCAGAUCAUCAAUUUUUAUCAGCACCUUCAUCAAAUUCAGCAGAGCCCACAACUCGGAAAUCCAGUUGCUUCUGAUGCUUUGAGCGACGGCGUUCAUCAAAAUCUUCCCAUCCUUCAAACUGACGAAGAAUAUCCAUCGUGAUUUCUGCGUUAUGGAGAUCAAGUGUUGAGAGUUGCAGGCACAUCUUGAAUAAUCCAGAAGGAAGAGACUUUAACCCAUUAUUACCUAGGUACAAAGCCUUCAAAUUAUGCAAAUUGCCAAAUGACUCCGGCAAUUCUGUCAGAAGAUUUGAUGAAAGAUUAACCUCAACAAGGGAAUUACACUCCCCUAUAGAUGUUGGAAUGGUGCACAUCCUGUUAUUGUUGGCUUUCAAAACCUCCAGCUGAAUGAGGAGUCCAAUUUCAACUGGGAGGCAAUUCAACUUGUUGUUUGAGAUACUAAGAUGCUUCAAGGAACUCAGAGCACCCAAUUCAGAAGGCAACACCGUUAAAUGGUUUUGGCUCAAAGAUAGAACUGUUAGAUGCUUUAGAGAUGUUAGGCCUUCCCAAUAAAUAGAUUCAUCUGACAUGCUAUUUCCAUUCAGGAACAGUUUCUGCAGAGAACUCAUACAGCCAAUUUUGGUUGGUAAAUCUUGAAUCAAAUUGUUGCUGAUGUCAAGGACUCUUGUAGAAGGUCCACAAGCCCACACUUGAUCAGGUAGCACCUUCAAGUUGCAUUCAGCCAAAGCAAUAACUCCUGUGACUUUCCAUCGAUCCAAACAGUUCUUAUCUAUAGAAAAUUCAGUCUUUUGAUUCACCAUUUUGUUAGCAAGAUUAGCCCUUGAGAUGGGACGGGUUUUAGCAUCUUUUAAAAUGGGACCAUCCCCUUGAUGCAAUCCCUGGGUGGACAUGAGCAUGACCUUAGCCCCAUUUGUGACCUCCGAUUCCUUCAAAGUCAUGGAGUCCACCAACAACUUUCCUUUGAAGAUGAGCUUUUGGCCACGAGGAAGAACAUUGGUGAGAGGUUGAAGAAGAGAUUUGAAGUCUUUGAUCGUUGAGUCCAGAGAAACAGAGAUUGGUAUGGAUCGUCCGCUGAACUUCACAGUUAUGCUUAUUGAAUUGCAAUUGAUAUCUUCACCUUCCAUUUUUUUUUUUUUUUGGGUCUCAGAAACUU
rnacentral:misc_RNA from 1 species